GACGAACGCUGGCGGCGUGCUUAACACAUGCAAGUCGAACGAGAAAGCGCCUUCGGGCGUGAGUACAGUGGCGAACGGGUGAGUAACACGUGGGCAACCUGCCCCAGAGACCGGGAUAACGCCCCGAAAGGGACGCUAAUACCGGGUGAUGCGCGAUCUGCCAAGUAGGUCGCGCCAAAUGGUAGCUUCGGCUUCUGCUCUGGGAUGGGCCCGCGCCGGAUUAGCUUGUUGGUGAGGUAACGGCUCACCAAGGCGACGAUCCGUAGCUGGUCUGAGAGGACGAUCAGCCACACUGGAACUGAGACACGGUCCAGACCUCCGUACGGGUGCACG
rnacentral:rRNA from 1 species